ensembl:misc_RNA Metazoa_SRP Metazoan signal recognition particle RNA
GCCAGGCCUGGUAGUGCAUGCCUAUGGUCCCAAUCCCAGCUACUCAGGAAGCUGAAGCAGAAGGAUCACUUGAGACUAAGACUUCUGGGCUGCAGUGAGCUAUGCCUGUCAGGUUUUCACAUUAAGUUCAGCAUCAAUAUGGUGAUCUCCUGGGAGCAAGAGGUUGCCUAAGAAGGAGUGAACUGGCCUGGGCUGGAAACAGAGUAUGUCAAAACUCUUAUGCUAAUCAGUAAUGGUCUUAUCCCUAUGAAAAGCCACUGCACUCCAGCCGAUGCAACAUAGUGAGACGCUAUCUCUA